rnacentral:rRNA from 1 species
UUUGAUCCUGGCCCUUAAUGGACGCCGGGGGAAUGCUUUACCCCUGCCAGUCCAACGGCAGCCCGGACUGCGGGCUGGUGGCGAGUGGCGACCGGGUGAUGAAUAUAUCGGAACAUGCCCACCCGUGGGGGAUAACGUAGUGAAAAUUACGCUAAUACCGCAUACGAUCAACGGAUGAAAACGGGGGAUCACAAGACCGCCCCCGAUUGGAGCGGCCGAUAUCGUAUUAUGUAGUUGGUGAGGUAAAGGCUCACCAAGCCGACGAUCUGUAGCUGGUCUGAGAGGACGACCAGCCACACUGGAGCUGAUACACGGUCCACACUCCUACGGGAGGCAGCAGUGGGGAAUUUUGGACAAUGGACGCAAGUCUGAUCCAGCCAUUCCGCGUGCAGGACGAAGGCCUUCGGGUUGUAAACUGCUUUUGUACAGAACGAAAAGCCUUGGGUUAAUACCCUGGGGUCAUGACGGUACUGUAAGAAUAAGCACCGGCUAACUACGUG